rnacentral:rRNA from 1 species
UGCCAGCCGCCGCGGUAAUACGGAGGGUGCAAGCGUUGUCCGGAUUUAUUGGGUUUAAAGGGUGCGUAGGCGGGACAGACAGUCAGUGGUGAAAUCUUGCGGCUUAACCGUAAAACUGCCAUUGAUACUAUUGUUCUUGAGUCCAGUUGAGGUGGUUGGAAUGCGUAGUGUAGCGGUGAAAUGCAUAGAUAUUACGCAGAACGCCGAUUGCGAAGGCAGGUCACUAAACUGGUACUGACGCUGAGGCACGAAAGCGUGGGGAGCGAACAGGAUUAGAUA